rnacentral:rRNA from 1 species
UGGCGACCAUAGCGUUAUGGACCCACCUGAUCCCAUGCCGAACUCAGUAGUGAAACGUAAUAGCGCCGAUGGUAGUGUGGGGCCUCCCCAUGUGAGAGUAGGACAUCGCCAGGCU